UGAUGGGAAAGCUUGCUUUUCUAUUUAGCCUUAAUCCAACUUCCAAGAAAAGCUCGAACUACUUUACAAUAAAAAUAACCUGUACCCUAAACCGACACAGGUAGGUAGGUAGAGAAUACUAAGGGACGCGAGAUAACUCUCUCUAAGGAACUCGGCAAAAUGGCUCCGUAACUUCGGUAGAAGGGGUGGCUAACCUUGAUCAUUUUUUGAUUUUGGUGCUCGCAGUGACCAGGCCCAGGCGACUGUUUAUCAAAAACACAGGUCUCCGCAAAGUUGCAAAACGACGUAUGGGGGCUGACGCCUGCCCAGUGCCGGAAGGUAAAAGAAGUUGGUUAUCCCUCGCUAAGAGAAGAGAAGCUGACGACUGAAGCCCCGGUAAACGGCGGCUGUAACACUGACAGUCCUAAGGUAGCGAAAUUCCUUGUCAAGUAAGUUUUGACCCGCACGAAAGGCGUAACGAUCUGGGCACUGUCUCGGAGAGAGACUCGGUGAAAUAGAAAUGUCUGUGAAGAUGCGGACUACCUAUACCAGGACAGAAAGACCCUAUGAAGCUUGAAGGUAGCUUGGAAUUGGGUUUGGGCUCUUUUUGCGCAGUCUAGGUGGAGGCGUUGAUAAUAGGCUUUCGGACCUAUUGGAGCCAUCAGUGAGAGACCACUCUGAAAGAGCUAGAAUCCUAAUAGUACUCCUUGAAUCAGGAUACUUGACAGUUUCAGGCGGACCUUUUUUCUGGGGCGGAUGCCUCCUAAAAGGUAACGGAGGCGUGCAAAGGUUCCCUCAGGCUGGACGGAAAUCAGCUGUAGAGUGUAAAGGUAGAAGGGAGCUUGACUGCAAGACCUACAAGUCGAGCAGGUGCGAAAGCCGGCCUUAGUGAUCCGACGGUACCGAGUGGAAGGGCCGUCGCUCAACGGAUAAAAGUUACUCUAGGAUAACAGGCUAAUCUCCCCCAAGAGUUCGCAUCGACGGGGAGGUUUGGCACCUCGAUGUCGGCUCAUCGCAACCUGGGGCUGUAGUCGGUCCCAAGGGUUGGGCUGUUCGCCCAUGAAAGCGGUACGUGAGCUGGGUUCAGAACGUCGUGAGACAGUUCGGUCCAUAUCCGGUAUAGGCGUAAGAGCAUUGAGAGGCGUUCAACAUUGUACGAGAGGACCCGAAGGGAUGUACAGAUGGUGUACCAGUUCUCGUGCCAACGGGAAACGCUGGGUAGCUAAGUACAGAAUGGAUAAUCGCUGAAAGCAUCUAAGUGAGAAGCCUACCUCAAGAUGAAUGCUCUCUAUGAGAUCGCGGCAAGAGAAGCCGAUGAUAGGCAUCAAGUGUAAGAUCCGUAAUGGUUUCAGCUGAGAUGUACUAAUUGAUCCGU
rnacentral:rRNA from 1 species